CACGUAGGGCGCAAGCGUUGUCCGGAAUUAUUGGGCGUAAAGAGCUCGUAGGCGGUCUGUUACGUCUGCUGUGAAAACCCGGGGCUUAACCCUGGGCUUGCAGUGGAUACGGGCAGACUAGAGGCAGGUAGGGGAGAAUGGAAUUCCCGGUGUAGCGGUGAAAUGCGCAGAUAUCGGGAGGAACACCGGUGGCGAAGGCGGCUCUCUGGGCCUGACCUGACGCUGAGGAGCGAAAGCGUGGGGAGCGAACAGG
rnacentral:rRNA from 1 species